rnacentral:tRNA from 1 species
GCCGCGAUCGCAUAACCCGGUAUUGCACUAGCCUGGAAAGCUAGACCCACAAGGUAUCUCGGUUCAAAUCCGAGUCGCGGCG